AGUGAUACCAGAGGAGGGUGUUGGGAGGAGCUAUAGGAAGACUGUAAUACAUGGACAGAGUUUGAUGUGUUUGAUACCCUUUUAUUGAUACCAUUCCAGCCAUUACAAUGAGCCUGUCCUCCUAAAGCUCCUCCCGCAAGCUUCCUCAUCUAUAUACUGGUUGCGGUGAAGUUAAGGGGGUUAAUCCUGGGUCAUGUUCGUAUUCUGAAAACGCCGCUUUUCCUUUCUCAUUUCUGCCCACGAGAUGCAUAGAUCGGGAUGUCUUGCAUUCACCAGUCCAGCUUUUCCAAUGGGGAUGACUCAUGAAAGGACAGUUAUAGUGCAUCGUUUAUCUACUAGUUUGUUUAUUUACUAGUUUGUUUAACCCAGACCUUGGAUGUGGGGACUUUAAUUUGCACAUGGAUUGGGUAUAUAGCUACCAUGUGUUUUGUCCUCCUAUAGCCAGUAGUUCUUCAGACAGUGGAUCCAUGGCAGCUCUCGGGACAUGGGGAUUCUCUCAGCCUGAUUACCACUGGACGAGAUGCUACGGACAAUGUAGAGGAUGCCAUGGCAAGUUGGCAUGAGUUGGAGUGGGUGACCCACGAACCACAGUUAAGCAAAGCAGCAUGUCUAUUUAAAAAAAAUAAUAACAUUUUACUAAUUUAUCAGACACUUACUCAGAGCGACUUACAGUUAAGUGCAUUCAUAUAGCCAGGUGAGACAACCACAUAUCUCAGUCAUAGUAAGUACAUUUUUCCUCUAUGAAGUAGCUAUCAGCAAAGUCAGAGGUAGUAAGAGGGACAAGAGUCAAGUGCGAGUGGGCACAAGCGGGGAGCCCAGCCAACAGCAAGUUGCAGGAGUCUAGACGGAAGUUGACAAGUGCCUGGAUUUGGACCUGCGGCACUUCCAGUGAGGUAGUGUCGUACUCUACAGGUGUUGUAGAACAUAAACCUGCAGGAGCAUGUCACUUCUUUGAUGUUUGCAAAGAGCGACAGGUUCUUUGCACUCUGGGAGGGGACACCGUGGAGUUAUCAACUGCGAUGGAGAGGUCUUGGAGCAGGCGGGCCUUCUUCGGGAGGAAGGGCAGCUCCGUCUUGUAAAAGUUGAGCAUGAGGGCCAACAUCUAAGCCCCAGAUAUCUACUAAGCACACAGAGAGAUGCGUGUCCCCACCUGGGUGUCAGAAGGGGGUAAGGAGAAAAGUAGUUAAGUUGUCAUCCGCGUAGCAAUGACAGGAGAGACAGUGUGAGGAUAUGACAGAGGCAAGUGACUUGGUGUAUAGAGAGAAGAGGAGAGGGCCUAGAACUGAGCCCUGGGAGACACCAGACGUAAGAGUAUGUGGUGCAGACACAAAUCCUCUCCACGUCACCUGGUAGGAUGGGCCUGCCAGGUAGGAUUCAAUCCUAAAGUGUGCAGAGCCUGAGACACCAAGCCCUGAGGGGGUGGAGAGAAGGAUCUGAUGGUUCAUGGUGUUGAAGGCAGUGGAUAGAUCUAGGAGGAAGAGAACAGAGGAGAGAGAGUCAGCUAGGGCAGUGUGGAGAGCCUCCUUGACACAGAGAAGAGCUGUCUCGGUUGAGUGACCCGUCUAGACGCCUGACUUGUUAGAGCCAAGAAGAUGGUUCUGAGAGAGAUAGCGAGAGAGUUGGUCAGAGACAGCACACUCAAGUGCUUUGGAAAGAAAAGAAAGAAGGGAGUUUUAGUCGUUUUUGACAUCAGCAGGGACGAGUGGUCAGGGAUGAGUUGAUGAGGUAAGUGAGGAAUGGGAGAAGGUCUCUCUCGAGAGAUGAUCUGGAAAGGGAGGAGGGGAUGGUGUUGAGCGGGCAGGUUGUUGAGCGACCUCACUAGUCGCAGGAUUUCAUCUGGAGAGAGAGGGGAGAAAGAGGUUAAGGCGUAAGGUAGUUAUGUAUGAGUGGGACCAGUGGAUUCAAUAGGCUGAGUGAAUGAGGAGCGGAUGUCAUCAACCUUCAUUUCAAAGUGGUAGACAAAGUUGUCUGCAGAGAGGGAGAAGGGAGGGGGGUGUGGAGGACUAAGUAGAGAGGAGAAGGUGGAAAAGUUUCCUAGGGUUAGAGGCAGAGUGAUAGAAAGUGGCUUCAGCAGCAGAUACAGAGGAAGAUAAGAGAGACAGGAGGGGGAGAAAGGAUGAUAGGUCCUCCGGAAGUUUAGUUCUCUCAUUUUUACCUGUUCUGUAAGCUCGAAAUAAGUCACUCAGUCAUGGAGCAGGAGGGGAGUGUGGAGCCAGCCAGGAGGAAAGAGGACAGUGAGAGUCAUAGGAUGCGGAAAAGGAGGAUAGUAGGGUCUAAGAAGCAGAAUCAGGAGACAGGUCAGAGAACGAUUCAGCAGAAAGGGAGAGAUGAUUGGAUAGAAGAGGAGAGAGUAGUGGGAGAAAGAGAGCGAAGAUUACGACUGCGCAUAACCAUCUGGCUAGGGGUCGAACAGCCUCUAAUAAAGUUGAGGUCAAGCACAUUGCCUGCCUUGUGAGUGUGAGGGGACUGGGAAAGGUCAAAAGAGGCAAGGAGGGGAAAGAAAGAGUUGGAAAGAAAUUACUCAAAGGCGGAUGACGGGAGGUUGAAGUCGCCCAGUACAGAGAACGUUGAGCCAUCGCAGGAAAUUAGCUUAUCAGGGUGUCAAGCUCAUUGAGGAACUCUCUAUGGUGGGCGAUAGAUGACAACAAUGUUAAGCUUGAGUCGACAAGUGACAGUGACAGCAUGGAAUUCAAAUGAGGAGAUGGAUAGGUGAGUGAGGGAGAAAAGAGAAAAUCUCCAUGAGCAGCCCUGUGCCACCACCGCGAAGAACAGGUGCUCUCGGACUAUGAGAAAAAAGGUUGUCAGAUAAAGAGAGAGCAGUUGGAGUAGCAGUGUUCCCUGGGUUGAUACAUGUCUCUGUCAGGGCCAGAAAGUCUAAGGACUGAAGGGCAGCAUAGGCUGAGAAGAACUUAGCAUUCUUGACCGCAGAUCGGCAGUUCCAAGCAUUGCUGGAGACCAGGAAUUACGUGCGCAGGAUACACUAAAGUAGAAGGGUUGCAGUCAAGGGGUGGGGAGCGUCUGUAAAGCAGACAGGGAGAGGGGCGAGCUGGGUUAAAAAAAACACAUACAGUUGCAAAAGAUACAAAAUAGCUCAAUUAGAUCAUCUGAAAAUAACUAGGUAAGAUACUCAAGUGAGAGAGUGGUGUGGAGCUUUUACUCUCUUUCCUUCCUUGAAUAACUCAGCAGAACCAUCUUUGUUUCGGUGGCGGUCUUAGUUUUGACGACUAGACCGCCGAUGAUACUGAUUAACAAAACCACAACAGUCACAAAUUGCCCUGCCCCUUAAUCCUGGUUGAUGUGACAACAAUCAUCUGCAAGUUAUGAGCAGUCAGCAUUUCACACACCAAGUAGGCUCCUGGAAAGACAGGCAGCAUUUAAUGUAGAUGGUUCUAGCUAGCAAAAAGACAGUGCACGACAACAACAGAUUAAGGCAAAAAAAAUCCUCUUAGCUGUAGAAUGAAGCAUAAUGAUACUCUUGUGUUUCUUCCAGAGGUUGAAGAUGACCCAGAGACAUUGGCAUCACAUUGUGGGGAGGGGAGGAUUCCCUAACAGUGGGGGAGUGUGAUGCUGCCAUCAUGGAGGGCAUCGCCGGCAGGUUUGGGGCAGUCACAGCGCUACGAUGCGGUGGGGCUCCGGUGCGGGUGGCUUGUAGGGUGAUGGACAGGAGCCCCCACAGUCUGCUGGUUGGGGACGGAGCAGCAGCUUUCGCCAGGGAGCAAGGCUUUACUAUAGAGUCCAAUGACAACAUGCUGAGUGCAGUCAGCCAAGGAUUACUAGGACUUGCUGGAACAGAAGCAAAGUGUCAGUGGACAUGACACACUUGGACUUACAGUGGCAGUUAGACAACAUGGGGAACAUAACUGUUGGUGAGGAAAUUGGUGUCUUCUGUUUUUUUGUUUAGCUCUUUCUUCCUUAUUAUAUAAGGGUGUUUUCACAUAGAGCCCUCUUUAAAGGAACCAAUAUCAGGCCUUUUUAAAGGAACCAAUAUCAGUCCUCUUUAAAGUGAACUCUGGGGUAAAAAAAAUAUUUUUCCAACAUGCACUCUGGGUUUUUACAAAGUGCAGGACAAGCCAUUCAAUUAGAAUGCGUUAUCAGACAGCUAGAUACACCUACUUACAUUUUGGAAGCUAAUAGAUUGCAUUGAGUUAAAAUAUGACACAUAAUAAUUGUAAUGAGAAGAUACUAUUAACAUAAACAUUUGAUUGGUAACAGAAUAAAUAGCAUUAGAAUAACUGCAGAAUAAAUCAUGCUGUAAUUGGGGCUAGUGCCCCUUGAAGAUCUCUUAGCCUAUAGAUCACAUAUUGCAAAUAAAUAAUCUGAACUAAUAACUCCAUACAUUUAGGAAUUUCUGUGCGUCCUUGACAAUCGCUAAUCAAUUUCCCAAAGCAGCACACGUUUUUUUUUCGCAAACCGGCACAUCGUCAUCUUCUCUUUAUUUGUGGCACCAAUGUGAGGGUGCCUGUCCUCACCAAUGGAGGUGCCACGAACCUCCUGUGGUGAAAACACCCUAAAAGACAUUCAUUGACUAUUUAUUUUCUGAAUUUAGAGAUACUUCCAUAGUAGCUACAGUAUGAGUUCAGGUUGUAAUAUUAUCAUUCAGUGGAUUUGCUCUUGUCCAAUUUUCCAGUUGUUUUUACUUCAGGUGCCCCCUUCAAACCACCAGGGAGGGUGGAAGACUCCCCUAUCGGGCUGUCACUUAUACACUGAACACAUGGCAAGUUUACAGCUACCAAAAUUAACUCAAUCAAAGAACUGCACACACUGAUUAACUUUUUCCCCUCUAUGUUUUAGUAGCCUUUUCUGAAAAGUUGUGUUAUGUGACAUACUACAUAAUUCAUUCAUGUUACUGUAUGUUUAUUAAUCCUACAAAGACUGAAGGUGUAUGUAAAGUUUGAAUACAUUAUUGUAAUGUUAAUGUAAACAGUCUAUUUAAACCAGUUCAAUAUUCAAUGGACAAGUGGGGCAAGAAAAGUGAAUGUAGAAUUGUUGGAGGGAAGGGGCAAAUCAUUUUGGCCUUAUUCCAACAACCUAGAAACAAUCUCUCUUUGACCAGGAUACUAUCGCCUUUUCACACAACCAUGUUUCCGUUUCAGUACGCUUGAGAGAAACUUAUUCAUAGACAAUUCACCACACUCCACAGUUUAGCAUCUUAUGAUCAAUAAGAAAACACAAGAGCAAAGGAAGCGCAUGUUGAAUUGAAAGAGAUGUGAGUAUGAAAACAGACUUGUUGUUUUUCAUGUGGGGGCCACUGCAGAUACAGUAUGUGAACUACCCUACCGGUCAAAAGUUUUAGAACACCUACUCAUUCAAGUGUUUUUCUUUAUUUUUUACUAUUUUCUACAGCACUCUGGAGCAGGUUUUCAUCAAGGAUCUCUCUGUACUUUGCUCCGUUAAUCUUUCCCUCGAUCCUGACUAGUCUCCCAGUCCCUGCCACUGAAAAACAUCCCCACAGCAUGAUGCUGCCACCACCAUGCAUCAUCGUGGGGAUUGUGUCAGGUUUCUUCCAGACGUGAUGCUUGGCAUUCAGGCCAAAGAGUUCAAUCUUGGUUUCAUCAGACCAGAGAAUCUUGUUUCUCAUGGUCUGAGAGUCCUUUAGGUGCCUUUUGGCAAACUCCAAGCGGGCUGUCAUGUGUCUUUUACUGAGGAGUGGCUUCUUUCUGGCCACUCUACAAUUAAGGCCUGAUUGGUGGAGUGCUGCAGAGAUGGUUGUCCUUCUGGAAGGUUCUCCCAUCUCCACAGAGGAACUCUGGAGCUCUGUCAGAGUGACCAUUUGGGUUCUUGGCCACCUCCGUGACCAAGGCCCUUCUUACCCGAUUGCUCAGUUUGGCUGGGAGGACAGCUCUAGGAAGAGUCUUGGUGCUUCCAAACUUCUUCCAUUUAAGAAUUAUAGAGACCACUUGCACUAUAAACACAAAAAAGUCCACCUUUUUCUACAUGGCAAUCACUGCAUACUGUGGGACAUCCACUUCCAUCUCCUCUCUACUCAGUCCUUCAGCUAUUUUCACUGCCUCCACAUAGGAGACCGGCUGGAUUGCCCUGAUCCUAGCUACUGCGACCUCCAUCAUCCGCAUAUCUCACGGACUCAAGUUUUACAAGUUGGGAGAACGACUUCCUUUUGUCUAUCAUGCGAUUCAAUCGACGUGCGUCUACCACUCCUGGAAUGUUAUCCCUAAACCACACAGCCUCUAUGCUCUAUGUCCAACGAAACACCAAAGAUGACACCUUUAACUGGUGCCCUACUCUAAAAGUCAUAGCUUUCCACAUCAUGCGUCGACAUCUUAUUGAGCCACAGAGCUUUCUCCUUUUGUGCUGUUGACACACACGAAAUCAGCAUCAUACUGCUCUUGGUUACUCAAACUGAUUCCCCUUCACCCAAUUCAUCCUUCAACAUGUUUUAGACCGCAAACGGGUCACCCAAAAACAUCAUUGCUCGUGAAUCGCACUCUAACCAUAAACUGCAGUUCAUUUCCAACUUAAGCCCUUUUCACUCCACUCUUCUUCACCAUCGUCCACUCAUUCUCACCAACUGUACUCGUGCCAAGAGAAUCACACAAUACUUCCGGUCCACCAUUGCUCCUCCAGUCAUCCCCUGGGACUCCCUCGCUCUUUGCUGUUAAAGAUGCAGGAGUUUGUGUUCUUGAAGUAGCAACCAUGUUGUUUCUAUUCCAGCACAGCUGUUGCUUCACCAACUUUUUCUCCAUUUCCUUCAUUUCAUCUGCACUACUUGCAGCCAUUUCCCUUCCUGGUCAUGUCCUGACAUGCAUUGUCAUCUGUGGGACCUUAUAUAGACAGGUGUGUCCCUUUCCAAAUCAUGUCCAAUCAAUUUUAACACAGGUGGACUCCUAUCAAGUUAUAGAAACAUCUCAAGGAUGAUCAAUGGAAACAGGAUGCACCUGAGCUCAAUUUCGAGUCUCAUUACAAAUGGUCUGAAUACUUGUGUAAUAAAUUUGCCAUUUGCAAGAAAUUUGCUCAACCUUUUAAAAACCUGUUUUCGCGUUGUCAUUAUGGGGUAUUGUGUGUAGAGUGAUGAGGAACAUUUUUUAUUUAAUCAAUUUUAUAAUAAGGCUGUAACUUAACAAAAUGUGGAAAAGUCAAGGGGUCUGAAUACCUUCCGAAUGCAAUGUAGAUACAUUAAAUUGCAAAC